rnacentral:rRNA from 1 species
CCUACGGGAGACUGCAGUCGAGAAUCAUUCACAAUGGGGGAAACCCUGAUGGUGCGACGCCGCGUGGGGGAAUGAAGGUCUUCGGAUCGUAAACCCCUGUCAUGUGGGAGCAAAUUAAAAAGAUAGUACCACAAGAGGAAGAGACGGCUAAAUCUGUGCCAGCAGCCGCGGUAAUACAGAGGGCUCAAGCGUUGUUCGGAAUCACUGGGCGUAAAGGGUGCGGUGGCUGUUUCGUAAGUCGUGUGUGAAAGGCGCGGGCUCAACCCGCGGACGGCACAUGAAACUGGGAGACUAGAGUAAUGGAGGGGGAACCGGAAUGCUCGGUGUAGCAGUGAAAUGCGUAGAUAUCGAGAGGAACACUCGUGGCGAAGGCGGGUUCCUGGACAUUAACUGACGCUGAGGCACGAAGGCCAGGGGAGCGAAAGGGAUUAGAUACCCCAGUAGUC